rnacentral:piRNA from 1 species
UGAAAAUCUGAUUUCAGUGCCACUGU